GUACGGGGGAGCAAGCGUUGUUCGGAUUUACUGGGCGUAAAGCGUGCGCAGGCGGUUUUGUAAGCCAGAUGUGAAAUCCCCGGGCUUAACCUGGGAAUGGCAUUUGGGACUGCAAGGCUGGAGUGUGGCAGAGGAGACUGGAAUUCCUGGUGUAGCAGUGAAAUGCGUAGAUAUCAGGAGGAAUACCGAUGGCGAAGGCAGGUCUCUGGGCUGACACUGACGCUCAUGCACGAAAGCGUGGGGAGCAAACAGG
rnacentral:rRNA from 1 species